CCAAGUUCCACCCACACGG
rnacentral:misc_RNA from 1 species